AGUGAACGCUGGCGGUAGGCCUAACACAUGCAAGUCGAACGGCAGCACAGUAAGAGCUUGCUCUUACGGGUGGCGAGUGGCGGACGGGUGAGGAAUACAUCGGAAUCUACUUUUUCGUGGGGGAUAACGUAGGGAAACUUACGCUAAUACAGCAUACGACCUACGGGUGAAAGCAGUGGAUCUUCGGACCUUGCGCGAUUGAAUGAGCCGAUGUCGGAUUAGCUAGUUGGCGGGGUAAAGGCCCACCAAGGCGACGAUCCGUAGCUGGUCUGAGAGGAUGAUGACCCACACUGGAAUGGGGACACGGUCCAGACUCCUACGGGAGGAAGAGGUGGGGAAUAUUGGACAAUGGGCGCAGGCCUGCUCCAGCAAGACCGCGUGGGGAAAGAAGGCCUUGGGGUGGUAAACCCUGUUUGUAGGGAAAGAAAAGCAGCAGGUUAAUACCCCGCUGUUCUGACGGUACCCUAAGAAUAAGCACCGGCUAACUUCGUG
rnacentral:rRNA from 1 species